UGCUUAACACAUGCAAGUCGAACGGGAUCCCAGGAGCUUGCUCCUGGGUGAGAGUGGCGAACGGGUGAGUAAUGCGUGACCGACCUGCCCCCGCCCAGGGACAGCCCCCCGAAAGGGGGAUUAAUACCUGGUACUCCGGAAGCGGCGCAUGCCGCCCCGGGAAAGCUCAGGCGGCGGGGGAUGGGGUCGCGGCCCAUCAGGUAGACGGCGGGGCAACGGCCCACCGUGCCGACGACGGGUAGCCGGGUUGAGAGACCGACCGGCCACAUUGGGACUGAGAUACGGCCCAGACUCC
rnacentral:rRNA from 1 species